AGUGCGGUUGUAACACACUUGUAAACAACUCGCGAGCAGCCGACAGCUCAAGGUGUAAAAUAUUUAUCAUCGUUUUUUUUUAAUUUCACCAAACAGCCGGUAAAUUAGUAGCUUAUUGCCUUAAAACCUGACGUAUCAGCGAUACUGGCUAUCACUUUUCCAGUUAAAUCAACAUUAAACACAAAAGUUGCUGUAAAUAAUACAUAAGAUAUCGUAACCGUCUGGUUUCUGUGUUAAUUAUGCAUCUCUCUACUCUCUGUCAGCAGAUUUUGAUCUUUUAUUUAUUUAUUUUAUUAUUAUUAUUAUUUAUUUAUUUAGAUAUCUGUUUCUGUGUUUGUGUGUGUUUUCGGGAGUUGUUGUUGUUGUUUGUUUAUGUUUGUUUUCAGAUUCCGAAUGAUUCAUUUCGAAUUGAUGUUUUGAACCUCCGAUCGUGAUCUCUUUGUGUGUAACGUUAGGUUUAGCUGAAGAUCAUGUCGAAGAAGGAGGGUAACGUUUAAAGUGUCGGAGGGGGUCGUAGAUCUCGAAGAGCCGAAGAAAAUGACCCGAGAAACUGGAGGAAGAAAAAGAGCUGGAAGAACAGAGAAAAUUAGGAAAUGCUCCAGCUGAAGUUGACGAGGAGGGAAAGGAUAUCAACCCUCAUAUUCCCCAGUACAUCUCAUCUGUCCCUUGGUACAUCGACCCAUCAAAGAGACCCACCCUCAAGCACCAGAGACCCCAG